ensembl:miRNA
GUCCCCAUUUUUCUCCCACUACCUGGCUCCCAUAAGGGUCAAAUGGGAUCCAGGCAGUGGGAUAAAAAUGCGGAC